GUAUUUUGAUAUUCAAUAUAAUUAUCAAUAUUCAUUUCCAUUUGCUGUCAAUGAAAGCAGCAUUACUUUAUCUUCCCUAUCAGUUAUCUUAAAAAUGUUCUUGCUAAUUUUCGAAUUUACUGUAUGAAGUGUUUCCGAGUGAUUAGCUCAUUAAGAUAUAUUCAGAUAUAUUCUGUUGGAUUGCAAGUUUCGUUAAUCUAGUAUUGUAAAGUGCAUGCUGCCUAUGUAAACAAACCAUUUUUAUAUCAUACUUUAUAUAAGAUACCAUUGCUGUAAUCAAACCGUCUACAACAAUAAGGAUAUGCUAAAUAUGCUCCCUUUUUUCGCCGUUUUGUAUAUAGCUGUUGCAUUUGCUAAAUCUACGGAGACAAAUUGUCCAUUUUCAGACAAGGUUAAAUCAGUUAAUUCAUGUCCACAAACAGCUGCUGAAUGGAAAGAAGCAGCCGCUAGAAAAAACUGUAAAACUACCUCACAUAACUGUUCUUCGUUGGAUUACCACUGUGUGAUAAAUGCGUGGAUGAGCGAAACGAUUGAAGUAUGCGCACCCAAAGUCAUUAUCGCCGGAAUGGUUUGUGCCGAAUUUAAUUUUGGAGGUAACAGAAUACAGCGAAAUGAAAAUGCAGCCUGUCAAAACUGCCCCGAAGCCUAUUACUCCAAUGUUGCUUUUAAAAAACGAAUACGUUGAGAGGUCAAAAGGGUUGAAUACAUCAAAGAGUAACACAGAAUCUUCAUAUUCAAGCACAUAUGCUUACAGUAAAUCAUCUGAACAAGAUGAUGAACUAUUGCCAAUGGAGGGUCAGUUUAAUCACACGAAGAAUGAAUCUUCAGCUGCAGGGCUUGAAGCAAGGAUAGUGAUUGGAUAAAGCGUGACGGUGAUAAUAUUAAUUGUAUUGAUUAUCUCCUCUGUAUUUCUUCUCAUUCGUCGACGGCGAAUAAGACAACAAACACGAGAUAUACAUGUAUGCUCAGCAGUGAAACGUCACUUACAAGAGGACUAAAGAUCAGAGGACCACCUUUUGACGACAGAUGACUAAAACCUUUAACAUGGGACAUGUAUUAAAAUAUUGUUUUGAAAAAAGUAUACAAGCAAAUG
rnacentral:misc_RNA from 1 species